GAUGAACGCUGGCGGCGUGCCUAAUUCAUGCAAGUCGAGCGAACAGACGAGGAGCUUGCUCCUCUGACGUUAGCGGCGGACGGGUGAGUAACACGUGGAUAACCUACCUAUAAGACUGGGAUAACUUCGGGAAACCGGAGCUAAUACCGGAUAAUAUAUUGAACCGCAUGGUUCAAUAGUGAAAGACGGUUUUGCUGUCACUUAUAGAUGGAUCCGCGCCGCAUUAGCUAGUUGGUAAGGUAACAGCUUACCAAGGCGACGAUGCGUAGCCGACCUGAGAGGGUGAUCGGCCACACUGGAACUGAGACACGGUCCAGACUCCUACGGGAGGCAGCAGUAGGGAAUCUUCCGCAAUGGGCGAAAGCCUGACGGAGCAACGCCGCGUGAGUGAUGAAGGUCUUCGGAUCGUAAAACUCUGUUAUUAGGGAAGAACAAAUGUGUAAGUAACUAUGCACGUCUUGACGGUACCUAAUCAGAAAGCCACGGCUAACUACGUG
rnacentral:rRNA from 1 species